rnacentral:piRNA from 1 species
UGGGUGUUCACAGUGAUGGAGCUGGUGAAU